rnacentral:rRNA from 1 species
CCUACGGGACGCAGCCGUAGGGUAUCUUCCACAAUUUUUGAAGGUCUGAUGGAGCAACGCCGCGUGAGUGAAGAAGGGUUUCGGCUCGUAAAGCUCUGUUGGUAGUGAAGAAAGAUAGAGGUAGUAACUGGCCUUUAUUUGACGGUAAUUACUUAGAAAGUCACGGCUAACUACGUGCCAGCAGGCGCGGUAAUACGUAGGUGGCAAGCGUUGUCCGGAUUUAUUGGGCGUAAAGAGAGUGGAGGCGGUUCAAAAA